AGCGAACGUUAGCGGCGGGCCUAACACAUGCAAGUCGAGCGAGAAAAGGGCUUCGGCCCUGAGUAAAGCGGCGGACGGGUGAGUAACACGUAGGUAAUCUUCCCUUGAGCGGGGGACAACGAGCCGAAAGGCUCGCUAAUACCGCAUACGUUUCUCGGGACUCCGGUCCUGGGAAGGAAAGCUAGGCCGCAAGGUCCGGCACUCGAGGAGGAGCCUGCGUCGCAUCAGCUAGUUGGUCGGGUAACGGCCUACCAAGGCGAAGACGCGUAGCUGGUCUGAGAGGAUGAUCAGCCACACUGGGACUGAGACACGGCCCAGACUCCUACGGGAGGCAGCAGUGGGGAAUAUUGGACAAUGGGCGCAAGCCUGAUUCAGCCACGCCGCGUGAGUGAUGAAGGCCUUCGGGUCGUAAACCCCUUUCAGGAGGGACGAAGCGUGGGCGGUGAAUAACCGUUCUGCGUGACGGUACCUCCACAAGAAGCCCCGGCUAACUACGUGCCAGCCGCCGCAGUAACAC
rnacentral:rRNA from 1 species